rnacentral:lncRNA from 1 species
GAGUUGAGUACCUUCUGAAUCAGUAGCACAAGCAUCCUACCUCUAUAGAUAUCCAAAGAGCUGAUCUAGAUAAGCUCCUCUUAAUACAACUUGAAAGAAGAGUGCCCUAUAAGCCAAUCGCAAGUGUACUGUGAUGGAACUUUUCUUUAUAAUUUUUCAACUCAUGAAAUGAUAUUUAUUAUUUAAGGUAUUGAUUCAUCAUAUUAGCUACAUCUUAUUAUAUCUAA